CCGGUUCCAGCACCGCCUCGCACGUCCGUCCCUCCCUCCGCACAUUCCAGCGCGCGAGGUUUAAUUCUUCCGUGGAAAUGCAUACAGAGGACGGUGCUGCAACCGCCACCAAACGCCGCUUCUCUCUCCACACCCACUCUGAGUGAAGGACGCAGCACAUCUCCACGCAGAAGGCAGCGCAGGGCUCCGUCCCUCUAUCUGCAGCGCAGGUACACGUGCACGGCCGGCAGCCCGCCCGGGAAGGAGCAGAGGGAAACAAAAGGCACGAACACAAUGAAGGCCUCAAAAUGUCUGGAAAUGAGUCAGUUUCUUUUGUAGCCCUAUCUCAGCAUUUUCAGUUUCAGAACUUCGUAGGAUUUUAUUUCCAAGCCUUUUUGGAAUUGCCUUCUGCCUGCAACUUUGCUCUCAUUUUCUCCUGUUCCUUCAACUCAGAGCUGCUGUGUGUUCUGCUCUGGAUGUCAGAAGGUCCCUGUGACACUCCCACACAGAGCACCCAUGACACAACUGCACAAUGAUCCACUGAAGCACAAAGGCAAUAUUUAAAGGGAAAACACCAAGAACAUCUGAACAGCAAAAAUGAUGAUACUCUGAAGAGAUCUGAAAAUUUUGUAUUAUGCUUUCCUACUUCUUAUGUACAUUAAACACAUUUAAGAAGUUUAAAAAA